rnacentral:rRNA from 1 species
AUUGAACGCUGGCGGCAGGCCUAACACAUGCAAGUCGAGCGAGCGGCGGACGGGUGAGUAAUGUAUGGGGACUGCCCGAUAAAGGGGGAUAACUACUGGAAACGGUGGCUAAUACCGACUACUGUCGGAUAACCCAUAUGGGAUUAGCUAGUAGGUAAGGUAAUGGCUUACCCAGGCGACGCUCCCUAGCCGGACUGAGAGGCGGAUCAGCCCGACUGGGACUGAGACACGGCCCAGACUCCUACGGAGGCAGCAGUGGGGAAUAUUGCACAAUGGGCGCAAGCCUGAUGCAGCCAUGCCGCGUGUAUGAAGAAGGCCCUAGGGUUGUAAAGUACUUUCAGUCGGGAGGCGUUACCGACAGAAGAAGCACCGGCUAACUCCGUGCCAGCAGCCGCGGUAAUAC